rnacentral:rRNA from 1 species
AUACGGAGGAUCCGAGCGUUAUCCGGAUUUAUUGGGUUUAAAGGGUGCGCAGGCGGGAGAUUAAGUCGGCGGUGAAAUUUUGCAGCUCAAAUGGAAAAGUGCCUUCGAAACUGGGUUCCUUGAGUGUAGAUGAAGUAGGCGGAAUUUGUGGGGUAGCGGUGAAAUGCAUAGAUAUUACGAGGAACUCCGAUUGCGCAGGCAGCUUACUAAACUACUACUGACGCUCAGGCACGAAGGCGUGGGGAUCAAACAGGAUUAGAUACCCUGGUAGUCCACGCAGUAAACGAUGAUUACUAGCUGUUUGCGAUACAAUGUAAGCGGCUGAGCGAAAGCGUUAAGUAAUCCACCUGGGGAGUACGUUCGCAAGAAUGAAACUCAAAUGAAUUGACGGGG